rnacentral:rRNA from 1 species
GACGUAGGGGGCCAGCGUUGUUCGGAAUUACUGGGCGUAAAGGGCUCGUAGGCGGCCAACUAAGUCAGACGUGAAAUCCCUCGGCUUAACCGGGGAACUGCGUCUGAUACUGGAUGGCUUGAGAUUGGGAGAGGGAUGCGGAAUUCCAGGUGUAGCGGUGAAAUGCGUAGAUAUCUGGAGGAACACCGGUGGCGAAGGCGGCAUCCUGGACCAACACUGACGCUGAGGAGCGAAAGCCAGGGGAGCAAACGGG